rnacentral:rRNA from 1 species
GACGAACCGUGCGAACGUUAUUCGGAAUCAUUGGGCUUAAAGGGCGCGUAGGCGGCGGCGUAAGUUGGAAGUGAAAUCCCAUCGGCUCAACCGUGGAAUUGCUCCCAGUACUGCGUCGCUCGAGGGGGAUAGGGGUCUGCGGAACUACCGGUGGAGCGGUGAAAUGUGUUGAUAUCGGUGGGAACGCCAGUGGCGAAAGCGGCAGACUGGACCCUCCGUGACGCUGAUGCGCGAAAGCUAGGGGAGCAAA